rnacentral:lncRNA from 1 species
UAGAACCCAAGAAAGAUAAAUGAUAUCCCUUGAAUCCAAUUUAAACAAGCACCAAGAACAAUUGAAUAUACGAAAUCAAAAUUGAAAUAUAAGUGAUAACAAUUGUUUUCUAAAUCAACACCUUGUGCAUAAAGUGAAAAGAAAGGCAAAAUGCUCUUAACUCAAUUCUGAAAUAUUUGAUUACAACUCUUGAUGUCCACAAAGAAGGGUUCCUUUGGUUUUUAUAGUGAAAGAAAUCAACGAC